rnacentral:rRNA from 1 species
AUUGAACGCUGGCGGCAGGCCUAACACAUGCAAGUCGAACGAGUGGCGGACGGGUGAGUAAUGUCUGGGAAACUGCCUGAUGGAGGGGGAUAACUACUGGAAACGGUAGCUAAUACCGCAUACCAUCGGAUGUGCCCAGAUGGGAUUAGCUAGUAGGUGGGGUAACGGCUCACCUAGGCGACGAUCCCUAGCUGGUCUGAGAGGAUGACCAGCCACACUGUAACUGAGACACGGCUCAGACUCCUACGGGAGGCAGCAGUGGGGAAUAUUGCACAAUGGGGGCAACCCUGAUGCAGCCAUGCCGCGUGAAGGAAGAAGGCCUUCUGGUUGUAAAGUUCUUUCAGCAGGGAGGCGUUAACUACAGAAGAAGCACCGGCUAACUCCGUGCCAGCAGCCGCGGUAAUUC